UACAGAGGUGGCAAGCGUUGUUCGGAAUUACUGGGCGUAAAGAGCGCGCAGGCGGUCGUUCAAGUCGCGUGUGAAAGCCCCCGGCUCAACUGGGGAGGGUCACGCGAUACUGAUCGACUCGAAGGCAGGAGAGGGAAGUGGAAUUCCCGGUGUAGUGGUGAAAUGCGUAGAUAUCGAGAGGAACACCUGCGGCGAAGGCGGGUUGCUGGGCUGACACUGACGCUGAGGCGCGAAAGCCAGGGGAGCGAACGGG
rnacentral:rRNA from 1 species